rnacentral:lncRNA from 1 species
AAGCCCUGGGCCCCAGGCAGAGGCCAACACUCACACAAUCCUCUGAGUUCACCACCUGGCUGUGAGCAAGUGGAAAUGAGGAAUUCCAGGCUGGCUAUCUCCCUCUGAUCACCCUCAGGGCUGCACUGGAAAUGGACUCGACCCAACAGGAAGUGGGGCAGGUGAUGCCUGGGGGCUCCAAGGGAAGGCACCUGUGCCCAGGCCAAGCCCAAGGCAUGAGGCAUGGCUGCUCAGGAGAGCUGGUCCCAGGGAGGACUCAACAAAACUGGUAUGGGAGUGCUCCCUUGUCCCUCUGCCUGGGCUCCCCCACUCCCUGUGACCCAGCCUUCUUGGCUACGGUCUCACUGUAAAUAGUUCUAUUCUGACCACUCCCAUCCGUCCUAUCCAUGCUCUUCUGAACUGGCCUUAACUCUCACUCUCUCUCUGAUUUGGCUCCAGGGUGCCGUGAGUUAUCACAUUGGGCAUCACUGUCCCCACUCCACAGGAAGGACACUGAAGUUUAGACAGAACAAUGCUCUGCGUGAAGGCUGUGUUGUAUGGAAGGUGAUACGAUGCUUCCUUAUCCCUUGCUUGCCUGAGCCCUUCUCCAGUCCAAAGGUGUUUGAGCUUAGCCAAGGGAGGCUGAACACAGAGCCUCCAGCUCCGAUGAAACGGUCCACCUCCACCUCUCCCUCUUGGAUUUCGCACCCUGCUUGUGCCUGCCUUUCUCUUGACCAGGCUUUGUGUCUACCUGCAUGUAAUACCACAUGUCUCCAACAGGGGUUGCUGAGCAAAGGGAUGGGACAACUGUAGUUGAAUGGAAAGAUCUCUGGGUCCCAAGUUAACCUUGUCUUUGGUUUCCUCUGUGACCUUGGUUUCCUCAUCCAUAAACUAAAUAUACCACUUCUGUCUGUCUUCCUCACACAACAGUGGUCAGAAAUGUGAGGAUGAAAAUGAAUAUGGCAGAAGAGGCAGCUCCUGUCACUUUCUCACAGCUCUUCUCUGUUGUUUAGCCACUAAGUCAUGUCCGACUCUUUACAACCCCAUGGACUGCAGCACGCCAGGCUUCCCUGUUCUUCACCAUCU